CCAACUUUGUACUGAUCGGAAUGCAUCAACAUGGCUCAGUCAGCAACACAAACACGCCUACUGAUAACUUUCAACUUGUGAACAGUAUAAUGUUUUUGUUUGAGGGUCAACAUUACCAAAGUGAACUCACCCGACCUGGACUCGACACACUAAUGUUUAUACACAGCUAACCAUCUCCAGCUUGAAAGUUUCACAAACAAUAAUGGCUGGGAUUCUCAGGCAGCUUUAAAGUAACAUCUUUGAUGCUUUGGCAGGAGGAAUGACACAAAGAAUGGGAGUUUGGCAUUUACCAGAUCCGAUCAUCAUUCCCUACAGCUACACUGUAUCGGCCUGGGGUCAGACCAGUCAGCAGGAGUUACACACACACCACACUGACAGUCUUCCAGGACAAUGCUGAGUCUACCACGCAGUAGCAAAGGACUCCCCAUCCCACCAACGUAGAAAGGACUUCUCCUGCAAUCAUACACAUCAUUGCAACUUGUCCAGACAGUCCUUGGAAGAUCCUGGGUCAUUAGAUGUAAUUCUGAUUAUUAAUGCCUGCAGUGUUUCAGACAACAAGAAGAUAGUAGGAGAUGAGUGUGGUUUUAUACUUAAUGUUGUCACAGCAGCUGGAAUGUAGGCUUGUGAUCAGAGUUCAUCAAAAUCUUGUGCAGCUAUUAAGCAUGAAGAAACACGUUCGAUCCAACCCUGACAUUUCCAGAUCAAGUCUCCCUCAGUUCCUGCUGUGGAAAUUACUUUAUUAAAGGCUGAUGAACAAAUCGGAGAGAUUCAAUGGAUGCUGAUCAGCUGUUCAACAGCUGACAAAACCUGUCGAUUUGGAUUUACAGGAGUGUGAGAUGCAUGUCAAGCUCCCCAUCAUGAGGGCAGUCACCAGGGCUAGACUAGCUGAGCAAGCCAGGGCUACCAGACUCAGACAGGAAUCAUGUGCUCAGACUCUGUCACAAGUGGAAUUCUGCACUGAUCAAUUGGAGACAGCACUUGUUUCCCCAAGCUUAACAAUAAUCAUACCUAGGAAGUAGCAGGAUUUCAGGCCCCUUCCUUCUCCUCACAUUUGUGGGUGGACCAUUUUGAUGAUAUAUGGUAUUCAUAUGGCAUAUGCAUUCAUAUGCAUUUGUUUCCAUGUCUAUCAUUUCAAACAAUAAAUACCCCUUCAUAAUCAACCGUUGACAUUUUAUGUAUAAUAAUAUCAUCAAAUAUGUAAUAUUGAUUGUUUGUUUUUGUA